GACAGAGGUGCCAAGCGUUAGGCGGAAUCACUGGGCUUAAAGCGCGUGUAGGCGGGUCGGCACGUCGGUCGCUGAAAUCCCCCGGCUCAACCGGGGAAGGGGCGCCGAUACGGCCGGCCUCGAGGGACGUAGGGGGGGCUGGAACUUCCGGUGGAGCGGUGAAAUGCGUUGAGAUCGGAAGGAACGCCCGUGGCGAAAGCGAGCCCCUGGACGUCUACUGACGCUGAGACGCGAAAGCCAGGGGAGCGAACGGG
rnacentral:rRNA from 1 species